rnacentral:lncRNA from 1 species
GCCCAGUCAAUGUGUCCUAUAUCCUUCCUCUGGCCCAGCUAUAUGGGACACCUGAACACAUUAACAGUACACCUGCUCUGUGCAGGUCAUGUUCUGCUCCCUAUUUUAUCUCCCUACUCCUCACUCUCUCCCCUGCUCCUAGUCACAAUAUUCACUGGGACAGGCUGGAGCCUGCUGAUCCCUUGCUGAAAUAAAUCAACAUGCCAAACCAGAAUAACUCUUCUUUGGAGGAGGAGGGGAUUGGGUUCAUCUUCUGCUGGAUCAGUUAGUUAAAUCAGCUCAGAAAGUGGUCAGCAAGGCAUGAGACACCAGAGUAGCAGAAGGGACUGCGCAGCUGGAAGCAGAACUGCUGCUUUCCAAAAGCAGUAGCAAGCUGUAAGAUCAGCUUACUAUCUCCACUGCACAACAGCCUAUAAUGUGGCAGAGAAAAAUUAUCCCCACACUAUGAAAGAGAUACACUACUUUCUCUUUCAGAAGAUAGUGUUAAGGAAAAGAGAGCACAGCUGUUUUUAAAGAAAAUGUUACAGAGCUAUCACAAACAGGGUUCCUGGGAUGUGAAUAUCAGUGUGGAGAUAGGUGCUUUCUGCCCCCAAAACAAGAACCACCACCUCAGAGAGCCACAGAUACCAGCCUUAGGUACAAACAUUUCCACACUUCUUCAAACCUACAGAUCUGAGCUCAAAGAUCAACAGCGCUGGAACGCUCUGCACCACACACUGGGAAUGAACAUUAAAGUUCUUACAAGGAAGUUUUUGCCCAGAAGCUACUUUUUUUGGAAACUGAGACAAAAGCAGACAUGGAGAAAGCAAGUACGAUGCUGCACUGAAAGACAACUACCCUCAAAACUUUUGCUUUAUGACGACCUAAGAGAAACGGAUGAUCCCAAGAGCACGACAUCCAAAUGGCUCUUCUCCUUUCUCUUCACAUCAGUGGAAUCAUAGGGGAUGGAGAGACAAAGAAGAUUCCCUGCUCUGCUUUCUCAGAAGUCUCUUCCACUGUCCCUAAGGAAUUCC